rnacentral:misc_RNA from 1 species
AUUUGGUCUAAUAUUAUUAGCAUUUUUUUUAACAAUCAAUUUUCAUCAACAUGAUUUACUGGAUUUAGAAAGAAGAUUGAAUAUGAGUAGCAGCAACCCAUUGAGCUUUUCUACAAUCCAAUUCCAACAAAUAAAUAAAAGAAAUGAAAUAUAGAAAGGCAGUCCAGAAAUAUUGAUUUAAUCUGCAGCAGCAGCAGCUCAUCAAGCUUUCAUAUCGUCUAGUCCUACACUAGCCAAGAACUUGUGAUUCUCUUCCAGAAAAGGCGAGAAAUUAGUGCAGAACUUUUCCAUGUCAGAAUUAAGAUCACCUUUGCCACUAAUUACAUCCAUAAAUUUCUUCCUAUCUGGAGCCAGCUUCAAGGCAACUGAAAAACUUGAACUAGCUAGCCAGUUAUGCCAUUUCUUCAGGGUCUUGUUGUAUGAAUCAGUGCAAACUUGUGUCAUGCUCCAAUCUGGAUGAGCCAAUAAGUUACGAAAUAGUUCCACCAAGAAGUCCAUGGCCCUUGUUAACCAAAGUAGACCAUUUGUGCAGCUGGAUGAUCCUUUUGCUGUUUUAGCAUCAAUCUCCGACCGCACUACACUGUAUAAGAGAGUGAAUUCUGAUGGGUUUGAAGAAUACUUAUUCUCCAAUCUCGAUAUGUUACCACCAAUAUCAGAUUUUACAAUUGACAUGGCUGAUCCAAAAUUAUCUAAAACGGGCAAUAUGGUUUUGCAUAAGUCCAAGAAAGGCUUGGUUAGAAUUUUUCCAUCUUGAGACCUCACAUGUUGAAUUCCUUGCAGAGAGGCAGUGAAAACAGUUCCCUCCAUUCUUGCACUGGGAGAUGAAAAUCUUGUGCAGAAAAUAGAAUGAGAGAGAAAAAAAAUUUCGUUUUUCCUUGAUUUUUGAGUCAGGAAAAUGAUGGUAUUGUUACUGUUCAGUUAUGUGCUGAUGCGGAAA